rnacentral:rRNA from 1 species
CCUACGGGCGGCAGCAGUGGGGAAUAUUGCACAAUGGGGGGAACCCUGAUGCAGCGACGCCGCGUGGGUGAAGGAGUAUUUCGGUAUGUAAAGCCCUAUCAGCAGGGAAGAACACUGCCGGUACCUGACUAAGAAGCACCGGCUAAAUACGUGCCAGCAGCCGCGGUAAUACGUGUGGUGCAAGCGUUAUCCGGAUUUACUGGGUGUAUAGGGAGCGCAGGCGGCGCGUUAAGCCUGGUGUGAAAGGCCGCGGCCCAACCGCGGGACUGCAUUUGGAACUGGCGGGCUAGAGUGCCGGAGGGGUAGGCGGAAUUCCUAGUGUAGCGGUGAAAUGCGUAGAUAUUAGGAGGAACACCAGUGGCGAAGGCGGCCUACUGGACGGUGACUGACGCUGAGGCUCGAAAGCGUGGGGAGCAAACAGGAUUAGAUACCCCGGUAGUC